rnacentral:sRNA from 1 species
AGACCCUUUCCUUUGCGGAAAUAAGGCCGGACGGACAGCCGGGGUCGAAUGCCGA